rnacentral:rRNA from 1 species
CCUGUUUGAUACCCGCACCUUCGAGCUUAAGCGUCAGUUGCGCUCCCGUCAGCUGCCUUCGCAAUCGGAGUUCUUCGUCAUAUCUACGCAUUUCACCAGGGACAACAUUUAGAAAUGAAUGCUAAUACCUGAUAUUAUGAUUUUAAGGCAUCUUAGAAUUAUGAAAGCUAUAAGCACUGUGAGAGAGCUUUGCGUCCCAUUAGCUAGUUGGAGAGGUAACAGCUCACAAAGGCAAUGAUGGGUAGCCGGCCUGAGAGGGUGAACGGCCACAAGGGGACUGAGACACGGCCCUUACUCCUACGGGAGGCAGCAGUGGGGAAUAUUGGACAAUGGACCGAGAGUCUGAUCCAGCAAUUCUGUGUGCACGAUGAAGUUUUUCGGAAUGUAAAGUGCUUUCAGUUGGGAAGAAAAAAAUGACGGUACCAACAGAAGAAGUGACGGCUAAAUACGUGCCAGCAGCCGCGGUAAUACGUAUGUCACGAGCGUUAUCCGGAUUUAUUGGGCGUAAAGCGCGUCUAGGUGGUUAUGUAAGUCUGAUGUGAAAAUGCAGGGCUCAACUCUGUAUUGCGUUGGAAACUGUAUAACUAGAGUACUGGAGAGGUAAGCGGAACUACAAGUGUAGAGGUGAAAUUCGUAGAUAUUUGUAGGAAUGCCGAUGGGGAAGCCAGCUUACUGGACAGAUACUGACGCUAAAGCGCGAAAGCGUGGGUAGCAAACAGG